CCCCAUGCUCUGCUCAUACUGCAUCCGAAUAUACGCAGUUGUCCACGCGGUGGCUAUAGAACUCAGAUAGAACUCCUCCGAGAAGAAUGUCUAUAAUUUGACAUUUGAAAUAUUAAGAAGCAAAGAAUCUUUUGAGUAGCACACAACAUAAUGGGCAAGCUUGAGAAGAAAAAAGAGCCCAAGCUGGUUCACCCCAAUAGUAGAAAGGCUGCUGCAAUUGUGAAGAAGAAGAUAAAGACAGCGCGCAGGGAGCAGAAGAAGGAGCGCGGACAUCAGCACCUGAGGUUGCUCUCAGAGAGGCUCGUCUGGUUCAGGGACAACCUGCCGGCUGAAAAACAGAGGUUCACGGUGGAGCAGACACAUCAGCUCAUUGAACAAUAUAUCGCGCGCCACACUGCUGAGCUGGAGCAGCUGAGAGGUCGCGCUGCACCUCGGGGACCCGCCGGGCGGCGCGCCAAACCCCCUCAGAGGCUGGCCGCACUGGAGGCUACCCUGCGUGCCGAGACAGACGAAUUCACGCAGGGCGGCAUUGAGGUGGCUGACCUGACCAACGAGGAGGCUGUUCUGUACCUUCGCGCCUGGGACGGACAGGUCAAACUCGUUCCGCAGAUCAAGACCCGACGCUUCAUCCGUGGCCGCCUGGCGGAGCCGGCAGCAAACACAGCUUCCGAAACUGGCCAACAGAUGGCAGAAGAGGCUGUCAGCGGCGAGUCGGAGACCGAGGAGAUGAAGGACGAUAGCUGAUAACAAAUAUAUGACGACAUAUAUGCCAGUACCUGCAGCACGGCCAUUGCGACCGUGGCGCCGGCGAUGGGCACGAGGUUCCGCUCGGCCCACUCCUCGCCGGCGCGCAGACAGCCGUUCUCGUGAAUGACGGCGCCGCGCUCAGAUUGCUGCCGAACGAACCACAUGUUCGCCGGGUCGCCAACAGAGGGCAGCAGUGCGGUUAGUGCGGGGAAAGCCCAGUAGGCGAGAAAGCGAGCGUGAUAUUGGGCGAAGUUAACAGACAUGUUAGCGGGGGGUUGCUUUUGUAGCGUGUGAGUAUAGAGGGAAGUGAAGGGGACAUUUUACCGAGUGAGUGAAAAGCAGUAUGCCUAUGCAUUUCUUCUGCAUAGCAAGUGAAGUGCAACUCCUAAAGCAUGUGCGUUUGGUGCUUAGGGAAGAAAGGAUACACCUGAAACAGCUGUCAUAGUUGGGGUGAAUUACGAAAUAUUAAUGUCUAAGUGAUGGGA